GACGAACGCUGGCGGCGUGCCUAAUACAUGCAAGUAGAACGCUGAAGGAGGAGCUUGCUUCUCUGGAUGAGUUGCGAACGGGUGAGUAACGCGUAGGUAACCUGCCUGGUAGCGGGGGAUAACUAUUGGAAACGAUAGCUAAUACCGCAUAAUAGUAGAUGUUGCAUGACAUUUACUUAAAAGGUGCAAUUGCAUCACUACCAGAUGGACCUGCGUUGUAUUAGCUAGUUGGUGGGGUAACGGCUCACCAAGGCGACGAUACAUAGCCGACCUGAGAGGGGGAUCGGCCACACUGGGACUGAGACACGGCCCAGACUCCUACGGGAGGCAGCAGUAGGGAAUCUUCGGCAAUGGACGAAAGUCUGACCGAGCAACGCCGCGUGAGUGAAGAAGGUUUUCGGAUCGUAAAGCUCGGUUGUAAGAGAAGAACGAGUGUGAGAGUGGAAAGUUCACACUGUGACGGUAUCUUACCAGAAAGGGACGGCUAACUACGUG
rnacentral:rRNA from 1 species